rnacentral:misc_RNA from 1 species
UCUCCGUUGGUGAACCAGCGGAGGGAUCAUUACCGAGUGCAAACUCAUAACCCUUUGUGUACCUCUAUCUGUUGCUUCGGCGGCUCGCUCUCGGCGAGCCCGCCGGUAAUAUCAGUAUCUCUGUUUGAACCCGACGCUACUUCUGAGUGUUCUUAGCGAACAGUUAAAACUUUUAACAACGGAUCUCUUGGCUCUA